rnacentral:lncRNA from 1 species
UAGUUAAUACUGUCUUCUCGGCUUGAAUAAUUACCAAAAAUCCCAUUACUUUUCUUGGGAUAAUCCCUCUCAAUAAAUGCAACAGUAUAUUAAUAAAAUCACUGUGAAAAUAUCAAUAUUGAACCAACUAUGAAAUCAUGUUUAUCAUUGGUUAGCUCAUCUAGAACUUGGUUACACAAGUACAGACUUUGAUGGAUCCAUUUGUAAACCCACAUGGGAAAGUGUACCUUCUCCACA